rnacentral:rRNA from 1 species
UACGUAGGGUGCAAGCGUUAAUCGGAAUUACUGGGCGUAAAGCGUGCGCAGGCGGCUAUGCAAGACAGAUGUGAAAUCCCCGGGCUCAACCUGGGAACUGCAUUUGUGACUGCAUGGCUAGAGUCCGGAAGAGGCGAGUGGAAUUCCUGGUGUAGCGGUGAAAUGCGCAGAUAUCAGGAGGAACACCGAUGGCGAAGGCAGCUCGCUGGGACGGUACUGACGCUGAGGCGCGAAAGCGUGGGGAGCAAACAGG